CCUACGGGGCGCAGCAGUGAGGAAUAUUGGUCAAUGGGCGGGAGCCUGAACCAGCCAAGUCGCGUGAGGGAAGACGGUCCUAUGGAUUGUAAACCUCUUUAGGCGGGGAGCAAUGCCGGGCACGCGUGCCCGGAGGGAGAGUACCCGCAGAAUAAGCAUCGGCUAACUCCGUGCCAGCAGCCGCGGUAAUACGUAGGUGGCAAGCGUUAUCCGGAUUUAUUGGGUGUAAAGGGCGUGUAGGCGGGAAUGCAAGUCAGAUGUGAAAACUAUGGGCUCAACCCAUAGCCUGCAUUUGAAACUGUAUU
rnacentral:rRNA from 1 species